rfam:Gossypium hirsutum cultivar TM-1 chromosome 22, whole genome shotgun sequence
AUCCCAUGAUGAGGGCAUUUUCAUAAUAACUCUUUGAAUCUCUCUCAUGAUUCAUAAAGGGAUUCAUCAUCCAUCUAUUGGAAAGUCAUGAUCUCAUUUCACAACUU